rnacentral:rRNA from 1 species
CGUGAGGGAAAGGUGAAAAGUACUUCGAAUAGAAGGGUGAAAUAGAUCCUGAAACCAUACGCUUACAAUCUGUCGGAGCCUUCUAGUAAGGUGACGACGUGCCUUUUGCAUAAUGAACCUACGAGUUAAUUUUUCCGGCAAGGUUAAGUAGUUCAGCUAUGGAGCCGUAGCGAAAGCGAGUCUGAAUAGGGCAUUUAGUCGGAAGAAUUAGACGCGAAACCGAGUGAUCUACCCAUGAGCAGGUUGAAGCUGUGGUAACACAUAGUGGAGGACCGAACCGGUGGACGUUGAAAAGUCUUCGGAUGACUUGUGGGUAGGGGUGAAAGGCCAAUCAAACUCGGAGAUAGCUCGUACUCCCCGAAAUGCAUUUAGGUGCAGCAUCGUGUUAAAUAAAACAGAGGUAGAGCUACUGAUUGGAUGAAGGGGUUUCAUCGCCUACUAAUUCCUGAUAAACUCCGAAUGCUGUUUUUAUGUUUCACGGUAGUGAGGGCAUGGGUGCUAAGGUCCAUGUCCAAGAGGGAAACAACCCAGACCAUCAGUUAAGGCCCCUAAGUAUAUAUUAAGUUGUAUAAACAAAGUUUAAUCACACAGACAGCUAACGAAUGGUGUAACGAUCUGGAAACUGUCUCAGCCGUGAGCUCGGUGAAAUUGUAAUAUCGGUGAAGAUGCCGAUUACUCGCAAUGGGACGAAAAGACCCUGUGAACCUUUACUAUAGCUUCGUAUUGGUUUUGAUUAAAAAAUGUGUAGGAUAGGUGGGAGACUUUGAAGUAUUGUCGCAAGAUAAUAUGGAGUCAACCUUGAAAUACCACCCUUUUUUUAAUUGAAAUCUAACUCAAUUAAUUAUUGAGGACAUUGCGUGGUGGGUAGUUUGACUGGGGUGGUCGCCUCCAAAAAGGUAACGGAGGCUUCCAAAGGUACCCUCAACACGUUUGGUAAUCGUGUGUAGAGUAUAAUGGCAUAAGGGUGCUUGACUGUGAGACCAACAAGUCGAUCAGGUACGAAAGUAGGGCAUAGUGAUCCGGUGGUUCCGUAUGGAAGGGCCAUCGCUCAAAGGAUAAAAGGUACUCCGGGGAUAACAGGCUAGUCUCCCCCAAGAGCUCAUAUCGACGGGGAGGU